AGAGUUUGAUCCUGGCUCAGGAUGAACGCUAGCGGCAGGCUUAACACAUGCAAGUCGAGGGGUAACGACUCCGUCUUCGGAUGGAGGUCGACGACCGGCGCACGGGUGAGUAACGCGUAUGCAACCUACCUUUUACAGGAGGAUAGCCCAGAGAAAUUUGGAUUAAUACUCCAUAGUACUAAUGAAUCACCUGGUUUAUUAGUUAAAACUCCGGUGGUAAAAGAUGGGCAUGCGUGUCAUUAGCUAGUUGGUAAGGUAACGGCUUACCAAGGCGAAGAUGACUAGGGGUUCUGAGAGGAAGAUCCCCCACACUGGUACUGAGACACGGACCAGACUCCUACGGGAGGCAGCAGUGAGGAAUAUUGGUCAAUGGGUGAGAGCCUGAACCAGCCAUGCCGCGUGAAGGAAGACUGCCCUAUGGGUUGUAAACUUCUUUUCUGCAGGAAGAAAUCACUCUACGUGUAGGGUGUUGCCGGUACUGCAGGAAUAAGCAUCGGCUAACUCCGUGCCAGCAGCCGCGGUAAUACGGAGGAUGCAAGCGUUAUCCGGAUUUAUUGGGUUUAAAGGGUGCGUAGGCGGGCUUGUAAGUCAGUGGUGAAAUGCUGUGGCUUAACCAUAGAAUUGCCAUUGAAACUGCAAGUCUUGAGUACAGUUGAGGUGGGCGGAAUGAGUAAUGUAGCGGUGAAAUGCAUAGAUAUUACUCAGAACUCCGAUUGCGUAGGCAGCUUACUAAACUAUAGCUGACGCUGAAGCACGAAAGCGUGGGUAUCAAACAGGAUUAGAUACCCUGGUAGUCCACGCCGUAAACUAUGAUUACUGGUUGUUUGCGAUACACAGUAAGCGACUGAGCGAAAGCAUUAAGUAAUCCACCUGGGGAGUACGUUGGCAACAAUGAAACUCAAAGGAAUUGACGGGGGCCCGCACAAGCGGUGGAACAUGUGGUUUAAUUCGAUGAUACGCGAGGAACCUUACCUGGGCUUAAAUGGGGAGUGACAGGGGUAGAAAUACCCUUUUCUUCGGACACUCUUCAAGGUGCUGCAUGGUUGUCGUCAGCUCGUGCCGUGAGGUGUCGGGUUAAGUCCCAUAACGAGCGCAACCCCUGUUGUCAGUUACCAGCACGUAAAGGUGGGGACUCUGGCAAGACUGCCGGUGUAAACCGCGAGGAAGGUGGGGAUGACGUCAAAUCAGCACGGCCCUUACGUCCAGGGCUACACACGUGUUACAAUGGCCAGUACAAAGGGCAGCUACACAGCAAUGUGAUGCUAAUCUCGAAAACUGGUCCCAGUUCGGAUUGGAGUCUGCAACCCGACUUCAUGAAGCUGGAAUCGCUAGUAAUCGCGCAUCAGCCAUGGCGCGGUGAAUACGUUCCCGGGCCUUGUACACACCGCCCGUCAAGCCAUGGAAGCCGGGAGUACCUGAAGUAUGUAACCGCAAGGAGCGUCCUAGGGUAAAACUGGUGACUGGGGCUAAGUCGUAACAAGGUAACC
rnacentral:rRNA from 1 species